CACGCUUCCCUGGACACAGCCGCUUAUGAUUCGCUUAAGACGGGGAGGCGUGAACAGACCGCUGGAAGGGAAGAAAUGUUAACUCCUGAGUAGGGACGAUCACUAAGGGAGAUGAGUCAAGUCAGUGAGCCUUUCUUAUCCAAGUCAGCAGUGAGUGUCUGUGUGUGUGUGUGUGUGUGUGUGUGUGUUACUGGGAAUUGACGCACCCAGAGCCUUCGCAUUAAACUGCAUCACCAACCCUUUUAAUUUUUUUUUUUAAGAUAGGGUCCUGCUAGUUGUCCAGACUCCACUCCAACUUUCAAUCCUCCUACCUCCGCCUCCCACCGUGCUAGCAUUGCAGGCCAGUGGCACCACACCUAGCUCUGCCCCUUUAAAAUUGAAAUGGUAAAAGUCCCUUCCCUAAGUUGCUGGUGUAUUUGUUGCCUAACAGAGCUCUCUCGACAAUUAAAAAAUAAAUAAACACCAAAUAAUUAUCUAAUUCAAUAGAUGGGGCGAAUGAUCGGUAACUUAGGAGGGAAGCAUUAGGGCUCAGAGAGGACAGUGAGGGCCAGACAUCGACAAGGACUUCCUGGGCCUGUAAGGACGGAGAGCUGGGAGAGCAUUUCAAGAGUUGAGUUUCCACUAAUAAAAAACUACAGGGAAAAUAUUAACCAAAAGAGCAAGGAUUCUAUGACGCUGAAGACUAAUAAUGUGUUUUGAUAAAGCAAACUACCUAAAACUGUGGAAGCUCUUAGAACCUCAGAACCAAACACCUGCUAUGUUAAGAAGCUAAAUUAAACACCGAAGAUUAAAAUCCACUAAAAGGAGAUUAUUAACCAUCUCUAAUAACAAUAGUUGUCACUUUUCCAUGGAAUUUCAUGCAGUGAACUGUUUCCUAUUGAAGUCUCUAUCAUAUUAAGUUCCCCUACAAAUAAGAAUAUACACCUAAGCUGAGUGUGGUGGCUCAUGCCUGAAAUCACAGUACUCUGGGAAGCUGAGGCAGGAGAUUGUGAGUUCAAGAACAGUGCGGGAUAUAUAGGAAGUUCAAGGCCAGCCUAGACUGCAUAGCAAGAUCCCACCUCAAAAAAAAAAAAAACAAACAUAUGAUAUAUGAUGUUACGCUCUUUAACUUUUCAGUUUAAAUUGUUAUAUUCUGAUACAGACAUUAGGUAAAUGGUUUUUAAAAGAAGUGUUGCAACCUAAGUCCUGAAUAAAUUAACUAAAAGAAAACUUAAAGGCAUUUAAGGGAAAACAAAAUAUCCCCCAAAAGUCUCAUGUGUGUGGAAGGGGAUAUGUCAGGGGGUGCUGUGCUCAUUGCUGGAUUCAUCAUGGAUGAGUUCAGGACUGAAUGCGCUGUAGGAGGUGGAGCCUGGUUGAAGCCGGUCACUGGGGCACAACCUGGAAGGAUGCAUUCUUGUUCCCAGCUCCUCCCUUCUCUCUCUGCUUCCUGGCUACCAUGAGGCAAGCAGCCUUUCCAUACCAGGCUCUUCCACCAUGAUGUUCCUGCUUUGGAGCCAGCUGACCAUGGACUGAACCCUCUGAAACUAAGUCUUGCUUCCAAGGGAGGAAAGAACCAGGAGGCACAGCACCAAUUCCAUGGCAUGGGAAGUGAGGGCUUCUACUUGAUCACUUGAGGAUCCUCAUAUCUCAGAACCAGCAGGGUUCACUAAAUUGCUAAGUUGCCCGAACUGGGCUCGAGCUUGAGCCACCCCCCCUUCCUCAGCCUUCCGGAAUGCUGCGGUUACCAGCAUUUGCCACCAUACCCAGCAUAAAUGGAUGCUUUUAGCCACCAGAUUUUGAGGAGAGGGCGCGGUGUCCCUUCACUCCGGAGGAAGCAGAGCCCGGACAAAGGCCCCGCCGGCACCUUUGCGGAGGACCUCACAGCCCCGUGGAGUGGGUUUCUGUUCUUCAUCAAUCACGCAGUCCAGGCAUCUGGAAAGCGGCGCCAGUGAACAGACACGAGCCUGUGUGUGGCCCUGGGGCUGAUCAGAGUUGGGUAAAGGCCUGCGCCUGUGCCCUGGCCUGGGCACCUGAAGGACAUUUUCCUCGCCUGUCUUUGCAAACCCACCUCUGCAGGGGCAGAGCACAGCGCGCUCACAGGCGCAGAGCACAGUCCCUACGGCGCGGGUGUCACAUCACAAUCCCACUGUACAUACUCCAAGGGACCAAAGAGCCACGUGCAAAACGUGCUCUACUGCGAGGUCAAUGAAAUAAAUGCUGGGGCCAGCC